rnacentral:rRNA from 1 species
UACGGGAUAACAUAUUUGAGAGGCAUCUCUUAAAUAUCAAAGGUGAGCCAGUACAGGAUGGACCCGCGUCUGAUUAGCUAGUUGGUAAGGUAACGGCUUACCAAGGCGACGAUCAGUAGCCGACCUGAGAGGGUGAUCGGCCACAUUGGAACUGAGACACGGUCCAAACUCCUACGGGAGGCAGCAGUGGGGAAUAUUGCACAAUGGGCGAAAGCCUGAUGCAGCAACGCCGCGUGGGUGAUGAAGGCCUUCGGGUCGUAAAACUCUGUCCUCAAGGAAGAUAAUGACGGUACUUGAGGAGGAAGCCCCGGCUAACUACGUGCCAGCAGCCGCGGUAAUACGUGGGGGGCUAGCGUUAUCCGGA